rnacentral:rRNA from 1 species
CCAAAUAUCUAAACGGAGAAAUUCAAUAUUACCCCUUAACCGCGUAAUGUGCACUUUUCUCUUAGUAAGACGCCGUGAUUCAUUAGAAAUUGAUAUACGCCAAGUAUAUAGUGGGUCAUCAAUAGGCUAGUGUGAAGUUUAUUGGAACAAAUGGCGCGAUCUUUAACGGUUGUGUGUAUUGUCUGGUAAGCGCAUUAUGUCCUGUAAUGACUGUCUGAUGAGUUUUAAAGAUUAUACCAUUGGUGCUACGGCAUCAUGUGCAUGUUCACAAUUGAGGUAUAUGUCUGAUCAACGGCGGUUAAAUUUGGGAUACCUUUAUGACCCGUCUUGAAACACGGACCAAGGAGUCUAUCUAGUAUGCGAGUAAAUGGAUAGUUAAUGAAAUCUAUUUGCGCAAUAAACGUAACUGUAUUAUGGGAUUACGAUUAAUAAUUAGUAAUGGUUAUUUUUCUUCCAUCCCGGGGUAUUUUUAUCAACAUAUGCCGUUAAAAAGUAUAUGGAAAAUAUACCAUGAGCAUACUGGAUACGACCCGAAAGAUGGUGAACUAUGCCUGAUCAGGUCGAAGUCAGGGGAAACCCUGAUGGAGGACCGAAGCAGUUCUGACGUGCAAAUCGAUUGUCAGAAUUGGGCAUAGGGGCGAAAGACCAAUCGAACCAUC